UGCCAGACUGAGCCCCAGUGCAGUGUUUGCAGUAACUGCAUUGCUGAUGAAAGCUCAUUCUGAACAAAGUAAACCACUUCAAAAUGCCCAGACAAAACUCAGUCUCUGGAUCUACUCAUCUCUUCUUCCUGCACUCCUGUUUUGGCACAAGGCAGUGUUUUUAACAGCAGGCUGCAGACAGCUUCCAGCCAGAUUCUUCUGAGGAAUCACCUCCGCUGCUUCCCAAAAUGGCACCAGGAUAACAUCACAAGCGUAUAUGUAAAUCAAAAGACGUUGAUUCCCAUCCAACAGAAUAACAACCUAGGACAAUGAGCCAACCUCCAGUUCAAGAGACCAAGUGACCUGUCCUGCCUGAGAACUGUCCUUCUAUUCCAUCAGAUCAGCAUAAUUCUAAACUGUCACCACAACCUAACAAGAACUGGACCAAAGUGAGGACCUUAGACAAUGAGCCCAAAGGUGUCUUCCUAGGCACUCCAGUGAGGAUGGAAGCCUCAGCUUUGCUAUACAGCAAAGCUGACAUCCUCCUCCUCCUCCACGUUGCCGAAGGGAGCAGUGGUGGUGCACGUGACCCCUCGGGACACCACCCAGAGCUGAUUUCAUAAUAAAGGCAUUACAAAGGA